rnacentral:rRNA from 1 species
UACAGAGGUCCCGAGCGUUGUUCGGAUUCAUUGGGCGUAAAGGGUGUGUAGGAGGUUGGGUAAGUCGGAUGUGAAAUCUCACCGCUUAACGGUGAAACUGCAUUCGAUACUGUCAGGCUAGAGGUAGGUAGGGGAGAUCGGAAUUCCUGGUGUAGCGGUGAAAUGCGCAGAUAUCAGGAGGAACACCGGUGGCGAAGGCGGAUCUCUGGGCCUUACCUGACGCUCAGGCGCGAAAGCUAGGGGAGCGAACAGG